AUUGAACGCUGGCGGCAGGCUUAACACAUGCAAGUCGAGCGGGCGAGGUUGCUUCGGUAACUGAGCUAGCGGCGGACGGGUGAGUAAUGCUUAGGAAUCUGCCUAUUAGUGGGGGACAACAUUCCGAAAGGAAUGCUAAUACCGCAUACGCCCUACGGGGGAAAGCAGGGGAUCUUCGGACCUUGCGCUAAUAGAUGAGCCUAAGUCAGAUUAGCUAGUUGGUGGGGUAAAGGCCUACCAAGGCGACGAUCUGUAGCGGGUCUGAGAGGAUGAUCCGCCACACUGGGACUGAGACACGGCCCAGACUCCUACGGGAGGCAGCAGUGGGGAAUAUUGGACAAUGGGCGAAAGCCUGAUCCAGCCAUGCCGCGUGUGUGAAGAAGGCCUUUUGGUUGUAAAGCACUUUAAGCGAGGAGGAGGCUACUUGGAUUAAUACUCUAGGAUAGUGGACGUUACUCGCAGAAUAAGCACCGGCUAACUCUGUGCCAGCAGCCGCGGUAAUACAGAGGGUGCGAGCGUUAAUCGGAUUUACUGGGCGUAAAGCGUGCGUAGGCGGCUUUUUAAGUCGGAUGUGAAAUCCCUGAGCUUAACUUAGGAAUUGCAUUCGAUACUGGGAAGCUAGAGUAUGGGAGAGGAUGGUAGAAUUCCAGGUGUAGCGGUGAAAUGCGUAGAGAUCUGGAGGAAUACCGAUGGCGAAGGCAGCCAUCUGGCCUAAUACUGACGCUGAGGUACGAAAGCAUGGGGAGCAAACAGG
rnacentral:rRNA from 1 species